AAUAAUAUAAUAAAAGAGAUUAAUCAUAAAGAAAGGAGAAGAUAGACUCGAUCAGAUUUUUUCCGACAGCAGCAUUUAAUGCUGCAUUAAAUGCAUUUAAUGAGUGCAGGAUGAAAUCAUAUCCCUGACAACAAGAUAAGUCUCACUUGCAUGUUUUAUGUAUAUGUACAUAUAUAUAUAUAAAUCUUUUUGUCACUCACCCACACAAAUCCUAACUUCUCUACGCACACCAAAUUUUUCUGCACACGCCAACCCAACGUAGGAUAGAGAAGUCCAAGAAGGGAUAUUUGCACAAAAUUGUAGGGUCAAGCACUGCAAAUUACAAUCCAACGACACUUUGUUUCCAUAUCAAAAAGGGUGCUUUCGCAAGUAAGGUCGGAGUAAGAAAUUCAAGUUAAAGGAACUAAACGAACAAGGUUGAGCAGCGAAGUGGUGGAGGAAGUGCUAUUGAGACAAGAUAUUUAAUUCAGUCAGAUUUUG